CGCCUCAUAGCUAGCCCACCCUUUCAAUAACAACAAGUCACUAUCAAUACCCCCAAAUACACAGAAUUCCCCUAUAAAACAAACCAUUUAUCCUCCUAAGUAUGAGCGACAGAAAAGAACCUUA
rnacentral:rRNA from 1 species